AUACGGAGGAUCCGAGCGUUAUCCGGAUUUAUUGGGUUUAAAGGGUGCGCAGGCGGCCAUUUAAGUCAGCGGUUAAAUCGUGGGGCUCAACCCCAUUCUGCCGUUGAUACUGGGUGGCUUGAUUGCGGUCGAGGUUGGCGGAAUUCGUUGUGUAGCGGUGAAAUGCAUAGAUAUGACGAAGAACACCGAUUGCGUAGGCAGCGGACCGGACCGCAAAUGACGCUCAUGCACGAAAGUGCGGGGAUCGAACAGGAUUAGAUACCCUGGUAGUCCGCACAGUAAACGAUGAAUACUUGUUUUCGGCGAUAUAAUGUCGGAGGCAAAGCGAAAGCGAUAAGUAUUCCACCUGGGGAGUACGCCGGCAACGGUGAAACUCAAAGGAAUUGACGGG
rnacentral:rRNA from 1 species